UACAGAGGGGGCAAGCGUUGUUCAGAAUUACUGGGCGUAAAGGGCGCGUAGGCGGCCUGUUAAGUCGAACGUGAAAUCCCCGGGCUCAACCCGGGUACUGCGUCCGAUACUGGCAGGCUUGAAUUCGGGAGAGGGAUGUGGAAUUCCAGGUGUAGCGGUGAAAUGCGCAGAUAUCAGGAGGAACACCAAUGGCGAAGGCAGCUCGCUGGGACGGUACUGACGCUGAGACGCGAAAGCGUGGGGAGCAAACAGG
rnacentral:rRNA from 1 species